UAAAUAAGUUUUGAAAAUUCAACUGUUUAACUAUCACGGUUUUUGAGAUACAGCCUGGUGAUAAACGGAAAGGGCGCUAAGUCUUGUGAUAGUGUCCCGUUUUACCGAGACCACCGAGAAACUGAAAUCUUUUAAAACUUCAUUUCAAAAUGCAAAGUGAAAGAGAACGUGUCGUCGCUGCAGCAGCGGCUGUGAUAUUAAUUAACAAGUACCAAAUUAUGCGAUCUACGAGUAGUAAAAGGAAAAAGAAACCACGGCGCUGGUGGAUAUCAGCAUACAACAAAAGUCGUUUAACGACUUAAUAUGUCUAUAUACACUUACAUUAAAAUUUGAAUUAGAUAUAAUUUUAUUUAUUUUGUGUUUUGUCACACAUGGCAGUGGGAUCACGGUAGAAAAUUAACGAAUGACAUAAAAUCCCUGUCCGCACCUUUGAAGUUACCGACUUGCGACGGAUACCGGCGCACCGCUGCAGACGUUGCAAACGACCACGCACGAGGCCAUUCCCACGGUGCAUCGUGCGUGCUGGUCGGCGUCCGUCGGCGUGCGUCCGCGAAAACACGCACCGUGGGAAGCCGGUGUAAUACGGUCACGGGAUGACGGGAGGUAGUUACCACUGGACACGAGUGAACUCGUGCAAAAUAGGUAUUAUGCAAUAAAAGACGUAAAUGUAA